rnacentral:tRNA from 1 species
UAUAAUUUAGUAUGAGAUGUACGUAAGUUUUUGAUACUUGAGGGAGUAGUUUAAUUCUGCUAGUUAUAA